GAGAAAGCAUAUACUGCAGUCGAGCGAGCUUGCCUAGAUGAUUUUAGUGCUUGCACUAAAUGAAACUAGAUACAAGCGAGCGGCGGACGGGUGAGUAACACGUGGGUAACCUGCCCAAGAGACUGGGAUAACACCUGGAAACAGAUGCUAAUACCGGAUAACAACACUAGACGCAUGUCUAGAGUUUGAAAGAUGGUUCUGCUAUCACUCUUGGAUGGACCUGCGGUGCAUUAGCUAGUUGGUAAGGUAACGGCUUACCAAGGCAAUGAUGCAUAGCCGAGUUGAGAGACUGAUCGGCCACAUUGGGACUGAGACACGGCCCAAACUCCUACGGGAGGCAGCAGUAGGGAAUCUUCCACAAUGGACGAAAGUCUGAUGGAGCAACGCCGCGUGAGUGAAGAAGGGUUUCGGCUCGUAAAGCUCUGUUGGUAGUGAAGAAAGAUAGAGGUAGUAACUGGCCUUUAUUUGACGGUAAUUACUUAGAAAGUCACGGCUAACUACGUGCCAGCAGCCGCGGUAAUACGUAGGUGGCAAGCGUUGUCCGGAUUUAUUGGGCGUAAAGCGAGUGCAGGCGGUUCAAUAAGUCUGAUGUGAAAGCCUUCGGCUCAACCGGAGAAUUGCAUCAGAAACUGUUGAACUUGAGUGCAGAAGAGGAGAGUGGAACUCCAUGUGUAGCGGUGGAAUGCGUAGAUAUAUGGAAGAACACCAGUGGCGAAGGCGGCUCUCUGGUCUGCAACUGACGCUGAGGCU
rnacentral:rRNA from 1 species